GAUGAACGCUGGCGGCGUGCCUAAUACAUGCAAGUCGAGCGAACGGACGAGAAGCUUGCUUCUCUGAUGUUAGCGGCGGACGGGUGAGUAACACGUGGAUAACCUACAUAUAAGACUGGGAUAACUUCGGGAAACCGUAGCUAAUACCGGUUAAUAUUUUGAACCGCAUGGUUCAAAAGUGAAAGACUGUCUUGCUGUCACUUAUAGAUGGAUCCGCGCUGCAUUAGCUAGUUGGUAAGGUAACGGCUUACCAAGGCAACGAUGCAUAGCCGACCUGAGAGGGUGAUCGGCCAAACGGGAACUGAGACACGGUCCAGACUCCUACGGGAGGAAGCAGUAGGGAAGCGUCCGAAAUGGGCGAAAGCCUGACGGAGCAACGCCGAGUGAGUGAUGAAGGUCUUCGGAUCGUAAAACUCUGUUAUUAGGGAAGAACAUAUGUGUAAGUAACUGUGCACAUCUUGACGGUACCUAAUCAGAAAGCCACGGCUAACUACGUG
rnacentral:rRNA from 1 species